CCUAAGACACCACCCCAGCCAGCAUGGCCGGCAGGAGCGCACCGCGCUGUCUCCCUCCAGGGAUCCGCACCGCCCUACAAUCCUGCUUUGUGCUGAGAUUGUAGUCCUGCAGGCGUACAACUAACAAGCUGGGUGCAGAUAAGAGACUACAGCUCCCCGCAUCCCAAGCAAAGGUCCCUCCUCUACGGAGCCCCUCCACGCGUCCACUGCGGUUCCGCCGUGCCAAGGGGAGCUUGGCUGUUCACGGGCCUCACCUGCUAGCGAGAAGAUAGCUUGGCCGGGCGGCUGAUCUCACCUUGUAAUUCUGACACUGUGUCUCCCGGGCUUGUCGGCUUCAUGACUUGUGCCCAAAGUUUGAUUUCUCGCAGACCAGGAGGACCCAUUGGACCCCCGGGCUGGCUGCAGGGCCCACACCUGGGUUAGACCUCGCACAGGGACGCUGCUGCCACUGUAAUAAAGCGUGCCUACACGCUUCUGAAACUGGUGUAGGAACAACCUCAGUUCUGUGAAAGGCGGACGCAGCAGGACAGAAUCUCCGUGGACAUCUGUCUGGAGGAGCAAUUUUACUGCGACAUUUUAAAGAAACAAAUUUAAUUGAUUUCCAAGGCUAGAGUGUGACAGAAAUCUAAAAGAUCAACUUCAUCGUGCAGGAAGGAGCAUAGAAAAAUAGAGAAAAGAAGAAAACAGCAAACCAUUCUGAGUACCGUGGAAACAAACUAAAAGUGGGCUUAGAAGGAAAACAGAGGAAGAAGGUCUGAGUAGUCCCAGGGACUCCAGAGGCCAAGAUGGGAAAGCCACCCAGGCGAGACAGGGGAGAUGGAAGCCACAGGGAAUCACUAUCACAUACCUCUGCUGGACCUGAAUGGUCCUGGCGCCAGCUAGAGCCAUCUGGUCGACCUUAGACAUGUCAAGGCAGGAGCCAUCUGAUCGACCUUAGACUUGGCAAGCUGGUGGCUAAGUCCAGUGCUCACUGCCGACAUCUGUCUCAAAAUAAACAAAAAGUCCAACAGUGAAUAUUUAACAAUAACAAAAAUAUAAUACCAAACAAUAUUAAAGACCAAUAAAUAAGUGGGAGUGAACAAAGGUAAAAGGUAACUAAUAUCACAAUUAAAAUAUUCUGCUAUCUCUCACUCUCUCUCUUCCCCUUUCCAUUUGUCACACCCAGGCUGGAAUGUGACAAAAAAAUAUAAAAGGUCAAUUUCAUCAUGCAGGAAUGAGUGUAGAAAAAGGGAGAAAAGAACAAAGAAGAAAAACAACAGCAAGUCUCUCUAAAACUUCAGUUAGUUUCACUGUAGAAAAAAAAAUUGAAAGUGGGGUUAGGAAAAAAAGGAAGGAGGAGGAUAAGUUCAGGUAGCCUGAGGGACUAGGGAAGCCAAGUGGGAAGACCACCUGGGUGACACUGGGAAGAUCGAGACCACAGUGAAUCAUGAUCACAUCCCUCUGCUGUACCUGAAUAGUACUUCCAAAGGCAGGAGCCAUCUGGUCAUCCUUAGUCAUGGCAAGGCGAGAGCCAUCUGGUUGACCUUAGAUAAGGUGAGAGCCAUCUGGUUGACCUUAGACUUGGCAAGCUGGCAGCUAAGUCCAAUCCUCUCAGCUGACAUCUUGGAGAGAGAGACAGACAGACAGACACAAACAGCGAGACAGGAGAAAAUCUUAAUUGUGUUAUUAAUUACUUUUCACCUUUGUUCACUCCAAACAGAAAAAAAUCCAACAGUGAAUAUUUAACAAUAACAAAGAUAUAACUACAAACAAUAUUAAAGACAAAUAAAUGGGAGUGAACAAAGGUAACAGGUAAUUAAUAUCACAAUUAAAUUCUUCUAAUCUCUUUCUAUCUCUCACUCUCGAUUUCUCUCUGUCAACUUCAUCAAGCAGGAAGGAGCACAGGAAAAUAUAAAGAGAAAACAAGAAAAAAAUAGAAAGUCACUCUAAGGACUGUGGAAACAAACUGAAAGUAAGGUUAGGAAAAACAAAGGAAGGAUGUCGAAAUAGUCUGAGGGAAUCAGGAGGCCGAGAUCAUCAGAAGGCCACCCUGUAGAGACCUGGAAGACGCCCAGGGCACAGUGAAUCACGAUCCGAUCCCUCUGCUGGACCUGAAUGGUACUGCUGCUGCUGAGAGCCAUCCUCUCGACCCUAGACUUACCAAGCUGGUGGCUAAAUACAACCCUCGUGGGAAGAUCUGUCUCAAAAGAAAAAAAUCCAACAGGGAAUAUUUAACAGUAACAAAGAACUAACCAUAACAAUAUUAAAGACAAAUAAAUAAGUGGGAGUGAACAAAGGUGAAAGGUCAAUUAUAUCACAAUUAAGAUCUUCUCUCUCUUUCUCCAUUUGUCACAACCAGGCUGGAUUGUUCCAAAAAAAAAAAAUCUAGAAGGUCAAAUUCAUCAUGCAGGAAGGAGGGUAAGAAUAUAUAUAGAGAGAAAAGAACAGAGAAGAAAUACAACAGCAACUCACUGUAAGUACUGUAGAAACAAACUGAAAGUUGGGUUAGAAAAAAAAAAAGAAGAAGGUCCAAGUAGUCUGAAGGACUCGGGAGGCCAAGAUGGGAAGUCCACCCAGAUGACACCGGGGAGAUCGAGGCUGCAGAGAAUAAGGAUCACAUCCCUCUGCUGGACCUGAAUGGUACUGAUGCUGUUGAGAGCCAUCUGGUCCUCAGACAUGGGAAGGCAAGAGCCAUCUGUUCGACCUUAGACAUGGCAAGAUGAAAGCUAAGUCCAGUGCUCGCUGCCAACACGUUUCUCAAAAUAAAUAAACAAAAAUUUCAACAGUAAAUAUUCAACAAUAACAAAGAAAUAAUAACAACUUUAAAGACCAAUAAGUAAAUAAGUGAAAGUGAACAAAGGUAAUAGGUGAUUAAUAUCACAAUUAAGAUCUUCUAUCUCUCUACUUCUCUGUUACUCUCUAGCUGUCUCUGUUUGUCAAACCCAUGCUAGAGUGUGAUUAAAAGAAAUAUAAAAGUCAACUGCUUCCUGCAGGAAGGAGCAUAGGGACAUAACGAGAGAAAAGAACAAAGGAAAAAAAAAAAAAACAGCAAGUCACUCUAUGUAUGUGGAAACAAACUGAAAGUGGGGUUAGAGAAAAAAAAGAAGGUCCGAGUAGUCUGAGGGACUCAAGUGGCUGAGAUGGGAACACCAGCCGGGUGAGACUGGAGAGAUCAAGGUUACAGUGAAUCACAAUUACCUCCCUCUGCUGGACCUGAACGGUAUUACCGGAGGCAAGAGCCAUCUGGUCGACCUUAGACAUGGCAAGGCAAAAGUCCUCUGGUUGACCUUGGUCCAAUGCUCGUGGCUGACAUCUCUCUCAAAAUAAGUAAGCAGAAAAUCCACCAGUGAAUAUUUAACAAUAAAAAAAGAUAACAUUGUGUCAAUAAAUAGGAGUGAACAAAGGUGAAAAGUAAUCGAUAACACAAUUAAGAUGUUCUCCUCUCUCUCUCUCUCUCUGUUUGUAACACCCAGACUGGAGUGGGUUCAUAUUUAUCAUGCUGGAAGGAGUGUAGAAAAAUAGAGGAAUGAAGAAGGAAAACAACGCAAGUCAUUCUAUGUACUGUGGAAACAAACUGACAGUGGGUUUAGAAAAAAACAACAGAGGAAGAAGGUCUGAGUAGUCCCAGGUAAUUGGGAAACCGAGAAGGGAAGACCACUCGGGUGAGACCAGGGAGAUCGAAGCCACAGUAAAUCACGAUCACAUCCCUCUGCUGGACCUGAACGGUACUGCCGCCUGCAAGAGCCAUCUGGUCGACCUUAGACAUGACAAGGCGAGAACCAUCUGGUCAACCUUAGACAUGGCACUCUUGUGGCUAAGUCCAACUCUAGUUGCUGAAAUACGUCUCAAAAAAACAAAAACAAUCCAACAGUAAAUGUUUUACAAAAACAAAAAAAUAAACAAUAUUAAAGAACAAUGUAUAAAUAAGUGGGAGUGAACCAAGGUAAAAGGUAAUUAAUAUCACCAUUAAGAUCUCCUCUCUUUCUCUUUUUCUCUCCAUUUGUGAUACCCAGGCUGGAGUGUGACAAAGGAAAAUCUAAAAGGUCAACUUCAUUUACAGGAAAGAGCAUAGGAAAACAGACAAAAGAACAAAGAAGAAAAACAAUAGCAAGUCACUCUAAGUACUGUGGAAAUAAACUAAAUGUCAGGUUAGGAAUAGAACAGUGAAAGAAGGUCCCAGUAGUCCCAAGGACUCGGGAGGCUGAGACACGAAGACUGCCCAGGUGAGACUACAGAGACUGAAGUUGCAGUGAAUCAUCACAUCCUGCUACUGGACUUGAACAGUACUGCUGCUGAUGAGAGCCAUCUGGGCGACCUUCGACAUGGCAAGGUGCGAGCCAUCUGAUCAGCCUUAGACAUGGCAAGGCAAGAGCCAUCUGGUCAACCUUAGAAGUGACAAGGGACAGCCACCUGGUCGACCUUUGACAUGGCAGGAUGACAGCCAUCUGGUCGACCUUAGAGAUGGGAAUGCAAGAGGCUUCAGGUCCACCUUCAACAUGGUAAGGCUAAAGCCAUCUUGUCCAGCUUAGACAUGGCAAGGCAAGAGCCAUAUGGUCCACCUUAGUCAUGGGAAGGCAAGAGCCAUCUUGUUGACCAUAGACAUGGUAAGGUGGGAGCCAUCAAGUCUGCCUCAGACAUAGCAAGGUGAGAACCAUCUGGUCAACCUCAGACAUGGGAAAGUGAGAGCCAUCUGAUCUACUUCAGACAUGGCAAGGCAAGAGGCAUCUUGACCUCAGACAUGGCAAGGAAAGAGCCAUCCGGUCGACUUUAGAGAUGGAAAUGCGAAAAGGGUUUGGGUCCACCUUAAGCAUGGAAAGGCAAGAGGCAUCUGGUCUAGUUUAGGCAUGGCAAGGCAAGAGACAUAUGGUUUACCUUAGUCAUGGGAAGGUGAGAGCCAUCUGGUCGACCAUAGACAUGGCAAGGUGGGAACCAUCAAGUCCACUUCAGACAUGGCAAGGUGAAAGCCAUCUUGGUCAACCUUAGACAUAGGAAGUUGAGAGCCACAUGGUCUACUUAAGGCAUGGCAAGGCAACAAGCAUCUGGUCAACCUCAAACAUGGCAAGGCAAGAGCCAUCUGGUCAACAUUAGAGAUGGUAAUGCAAGAGGCUUCAGAUCCAUCUUAGACAUGGUAAGGCAAGAAGCAUCUCAUCUAGCUUAGACAUGGCAAAUCAAGAGCCAUGUGGUCCACCUUAGUCAUGGGAAGGUGAGAGCCAUCUCGUUGACCAUAGACAGGGCAAGGUGGGAGCCAUCAAGUCCACCUCAGACAUGGCAAGGCGAGAGCCAUCUAGUCUGCCUCAGACAUGGCAAGGUGAGAGCCAUCUGGUUAACUUUAGACAUGGGAAGGAGAGCCAACUGGUUGGCCUCAGACAUGGAAAGGCUAGAGCCAUCCAGUCGACCUCAGAAAUGGGAAAGAGAGAGCCAUCUGGACAACCUUAAACAUGACAAAAUGAGAGCCAUCUGGUAGACUUUAGACAUAGAAUGGCAAGAGCCAUCUGGUCAAUCGUAGAUGUGGCAAGGUGAGAGCCAUCUGAUUGACCUAGACAUGGCAAGGUGAGAGACAUCUGGUCGACUGAAGACAAGGAAAAAUGAAAGCCAUCUGGUUGAGCUUAGACAUGGCAAGGCAAGAGUCAUCUGGCCGACCUUAGACAUGGAAAAAGAAGAGCCAUCUGUUUGACCUUAGACAUGGCAAGGCAAGAUCCAUCUGGUCAACCUUAGACAUGGCAAGGUGAGAGCCAUCUUGUUGAACUCACUCGAAGAGGAGACCCAUCUGGUCAACCUCAGACAUGGCAAGGUGAGAGCCAUCUGAUCGACCUUAGACAUGGCAAGGUGAGAGCCAUCUGGUCGACCUUAGAUAUGGCAAGGUGAGAAUCAUCUGGUCAAUCUUAAACAUGGCAAGGUGAGAUCCAACUUGACCUUAGAUAUGAUGAGGUGAGAACCAACUGUUCAAUCUUAGACAUGGCUAGGCAAGUGCCAUCUGGUCCACCUUAGAUAUGGCAAGGCGAGAGCCAUCUGGUCGACCUUAGACAUGGCAAGGUGAGAGCUGUCUGUUCAUCUUAGACAUGACAAGCUGGCAGCUAAAUGCGAUGCAUGCAGUCGACAUCCAUCUCAAAAUAAAUGAACCAACAGUAAAUAUAUAACAAUAACAAGGAAAUAAUAGUGAACAACCCUAAAGACCAAAUAAUUAAGUAGGAGUGUACAAUAAUAAAAGGUAAUUAAUGUCGCAAUUUAAAAAAACUCCUCUCUCUCUCUGUCUCUCUCUCUAUUUGUCACACACAGGGUGAAGUGUAACCAAAAAAAAAAAAAAAAUCCAAAGGUCAAACUCAGUUUGCAGGAAGGAGCAUAGGAGAAUAAAGGAUGGAACAAAGAAGAAAAAGAACAGCAAGUUACUCUGAGUAUUGUGGAAACAAACUGAAAUUAGAGUGAGAGAGAGAGAGAAAAAAAAAGAAGGUCCGAGCAAUCUCAGAUAUAUGAGAGGCCAAGAUGGGAAGAUCACUUGGGUAAGACUGGGAAGAUUGAGUCUGCAGUGAGUCACAGUCGCAUCAUUCUGCUGGAUUUGAAUGGUACUGCUUCUGGCCCAAGUUGUCUGGGCAACCUUAGACAUGGGUGUCCAUCGCGCUUCCUUCACUGCCUUGAUCAUGUCGGGGUCACCACCUGCGGGGGUUUGUCCUGCAGACCCUGACUCAACGACGGAUGAAUAAUGUACACUGACACAGAUCUUAUGCUUGUCAGUCCUGCUGAGCAUCCAGGCCACUUACAGACUCCAAGAAGAGUCCUGUCAGCCACGGCUCUGACUUGUUGGCCCUCCCGGCAUUUAUUUAGCACACAUUUAAUGACAGAAGUCUCAGGCUGGAAACACUCUUUUUGUAGAACAUACAAAUGGACAUUUCUAAGCACAUUGAGGCCUAUAAUGAAAAAUCAAAUAUCCCACAAUGAAAACUAGAAGGAAGCUAUCUGUGAUAAUGCUUUGUGGUGUAUGGAUUCAUCUCACUGACUGAAACCUGAGUUUUGAUUCACCAGAAUGUAUGAAGAGAUAUUUCUGAGGCCUGUUGUGAAAAACUGAGGUUUCCACAAGAAAAACUGGAAACAAGUUAUCUGAGAAAAUGCUUUAUGAUGGGUGAAUUCAUCUCACAAAAUUAAACCUUCGUUUUGAUUCAAAAGGUUGCAAACACUCUUUUUGCAGAAUCUAUGAAGGAACAUUUCUGAACCAAUUUUGGCCUAUAGUGGAAAACUGAACAUUCUGUGAUAUAAACUAGAGAAAAGAUAUCUGUGAAAAUGCUUUGCAAUGUGUGGAUUCAUCUCACUGGAUGGAACCUAUGCUUUGAUUUAGUAGGUUGGAAAUACUCAUUUUGUAGAAUCUACAAAGGAUAUUUCUGAGCCCCUUUGAGCCUGUAGUGAAAAAUCAAGGAUCCCAUGAAGAAAAACAGAAAAACACUAUCUGUCAAAAUGCUUAUUGGUGUGUGGAUUCUUCUUACCAAAUGGAACCUGUGUUUUGAUUCACCAGGUUGGAAACACUUUUUUGUAGAGUCUAUGAAGGGACAUUUCUCAGCCCAUUGAGGCCUAUAGUGAUGAACAAAAUAUCCCAUAAUAGAAGCUAGAAAAAAGCUAUUUCCAAAAAUGCUUUGCAAUGUGUGGAUUUAUCUUACAGAAUUAAACCUUUAUUUUGAUUUGACAGUCUGCAAACACUUUUUUUUGUAGAAAGUACAGAGGGACAUUUCUGAGACCAUCAAGAACUAUAGUAAAAAAAUCAAACAACCUGCCUUAAUAUUUAGAAACAAGCUAUCUGUUAAAAUGCUUUAGAAUAUUUUCAUUCAUGUCACAGAUUUCAACCUUUUUUUUGAUUCAACAAGAUAAAAACACUCUUUUAGUUGAAUCUACAAAAAGAUAUUUCAAAGUCCGUUGAGGCCUAUAGUGAAAAACUGAAUAUCCCAUGAUAAAAACUAGAAGUGAGCCCUGUGUGAAAAUGCUUUGUGAUGUGUGGAUUCAUCUCACAGAGUUAAACUUAUAUUUUUAUUCAACACCUUGGAAACACUCUUUUUGUAGCAUCUAUGAAGGGACAUUCUGAGGCCAUUGAGGCCUAUAGUGAAAAGCAGAAUAUCCUUCCUUAAAAUCUAGAAACAAUCUAUCUGUGAAGAUGAUUUAUGAUGUGAGCAUUUAUCUCACAGAUUUAAAACUAUGUUUUAAUUCAACAGGUAGGAAAAAGUCUUUUUGUAGAAUCUAUGAAAGGACACUUCUGAGCCCACGGAGACCUAUAGUGAAAAACUGAAUAUCCAGCAUUAAAAACUAGAAACAAGCUAUAUGUAAAAAUGUUUUGUGAUGUGUGGAUUCAUCUCUCCCAAUGGAACCUGUGUUUUGAUUCUCCAGGUUGGAAACACUUUUUGUGAAAUCUAUGAAGCGACAUUUCUGAGCCCAUUGAGGCAUAUUGUAAAAUUUGAAUAUUCCACGAUAAGAACUAGAAACAAGCUAUCUCUGAAAAUCCUUUUCAAUGUGUGGCUUCUCCUCACAGAGUUAAAUCUUUGUUUCAAUUCAACACCUUGAAAACACUUUUUUGGUAGAAUCUACGAAGGGACAUUUCUGACCCAUUGAGGCCUACAGUAAAAAAUGUAGGGACAUUUCUGAGCCCAUUGAAGCCUAUAGUUAAAAAACUAAUUUCUGGUGAUAAAAUCUAGAAACAAGCCAUCUGUGAAAAUGCUUUGUGAUGUAUGGAUUUAUCUCAAAAAGUUAAAACUAUGUUUUUAACCAACAGGUUGAAAUCACUCUUUUUGUAGAAUCUAUGAAAAGACGUUUCUGAGCCCACUGAGGCCUGUAGAGAAAAACUGUAUAUCCUGCAAUAAAAGCUAGAAGAAAAGCUCUCCGUGUAAAUGGUUCCCGAUGUGUGGGUUAAUCUCACAGAGUUAAACAUUUGUUUUUAUUUAACAGGUUAGAAACGUUCUUUUUGUAGAAUCUACGAAGGAAUAUUUCUGAGCCCAUUGAGGCCUAUAGCAAGAAGCCAUAUAUCCGUCAAUAAAAACUGGAAACAAGCUAUCUGUGAACAUUUUUUGUGAUGUAUGCAUUUAUCUCACCAAAUGGAACCUGUGUUUUGAUUCACCAGUUUGGAAACACUCUUUUGUGGAAUGCAUGAAGGGACAUUUCUUAGCCAAUUGAGGUGUAUAGUGAUAUACCAAAUAUCCCGGGAUAGAAACUAGAAACAAGUUAUCUGCAAAAAUGCUCUGUGAUGUGUGGAUUUAUCUCACAGAGAUGAAGCUUUGUUUUGAUUCAACAUGUUGGAAACACUUUUUUUGUAGAAUCUACAAAGGGACAUUUCUGAGACCAUUAAAAACUACAGUAAAAAAAGGUAUAAUGCACCUUAAAAUCUAGAAACAAAGCUAUCUGUGAAAAUGCUUUGCAAUAUGUGGAUUCAUGUCACAGAUUUAAACCUUUGUUUUGAUUGAACAAAUUGGAAACACUGUUUUAGUAGAUUAUAUAAAGGGACAUUUCAAAGCCCAUUGAAGCCUAUAGUGAAAAAUCAAAAAUCCCGUGAGCAAAAAUAGAAACAACCUCUGUGGGAAAAUGCUGUGUGAUACGUUCAUUCAUCUCACAGGGAUAACCUUUGUUUUUAUUCAACACCUUGGAAACAUUCUUUUUGUAGAGUCUAUGAAAAAAAUUUCUGAGCCAAUUGAAGUCUGUAGUGAAAAAGCUAAUAUCCCAUUUUAAAAUAUAAAACAAACUAUGAAAAUGAGUUUUGAUGUGUGGAUUCAUCGAGAGUUAGACCUUUGUUCUAAAUCAACAGGUUAAGAACACUCUUUUUGUAGAAUCUAUGAAAAAACAUUUCUGAGCCCGUUGAGGCCUAUUGCGAAGUGAAUCUCUUGCAAUAAAAAGCAGAAACCAGCUCUCUGUGAAAUAAUUUUGUGAUGUACAAAUUUAUCUUGCAGAGUUAAAACUUUGUUUUAAUUCAACAAGUUGAAACCUUCUUUUUGUAGAAUCUGCAAAGAGACAUUUCUGAGCCCAUUGAGGCCAAUAGCAAAAAAAUGAAUAUCCCACAAUAAAAACUAGAAACAAAACAGCUGUGUAAAUGCUUUGCAAUAUGUGGAUUCGUCUCACUGAGUUAAACCUAUGUUUUGAUUCAACAAGUUAAAAAACUUGUUUUUGUAGUAUCUUCGAAGGGACAAUUCUGAGCCUAUGGAGAUUAUAGCAAAAAACUGAAUAUCCUGCAAUAAAAACUAGAAACAAGAUAUCCGUGGAAAUGCUUUGAGAUGUGUAGAUUUAUUUCACAGAAUUAAACCUUUGUUUUGAUUUAACAGGUUGGAACCACUCUAUUUUAAGAAUCUAUGAAGAAAUAUCUUUGUCCCUAUUGUACACUAUAGUGGACAACUGAAUACUUCAUGACAAAAACUAGAAACAAGCUAGCUGUGAAAAUGCUUUGCAAUGGGUGAAUUCAUCUCACUCAGUUAAACCUUCGUUUUGAUUCAACAAGGGUGAAACACUCUUUUGGUAGAAUCUACAAAGAAACAUUUAUGAGCCCCUUGAGGACUAUAGUGAAAAAAUGAAUCUCCUGCAUUAAUAUCUAGAAACAAUCUAUUUGUGAAAAUGCUGUGUGAUGCAUGGAUCCAUCUCACAGAUUUCAAACUUUAUUUUGAUUCAACAGGCUGGAAACACUCUUGUUAUAGAAGCUACGAAGGGUCAUUUCUGAACCCAUUGAGGCCAAUAGUGAAAAACUAAAUAUCCUGCAAUAAACCUAGAAAAAAUCUAUCUGCGAAAAUACUUUGUGUAGUGUGGAUGAGUGUCUCAGGGUUAAACAUUUGUUUUUAUUCACCAGGUUCGAAACACUCUUUUUGUUGAACAGACAAAGGGACAUUUCUUAGCCCAGUUAGGCCUAUAAAGGUAAACCGAAUAUCCCGUGAUACAUAGUAGAAACAAGCUAUCUGCAAAAAUGCUUUGUGAAUUGUAGAUUCAUCUCACAGAAUUAAGCCUUUGUUUUAAUUCAACAGGUUAAAAACACUAUUUUUGUAGACUCUACGAAGAAACAUUUCUGAAACCAUUGAAACCUAUGGGGGAAAAAAACCCCCGAAAUUCCUGUGAUAAGAAAUGGAAAGCAGCUAUCUGUGAAAAUGCUUUGUAAUGUGUGGAUUCUUCUCACAGAGUUAAACCUUUGUUCUGAUUCAACAUUGUUCAGAACACUCUUUUUGUAGAAUCUACAGAGAUACUUUUUAGCAUUUUGAGGCCUCUAGUGAAAAACCGAAUGUCCUGCAAUAGAAACUGGAAACAACCUUCUGUGAAAAUGCUUUGUGAUUCGUCUAUUCAUCUCAAAGAAUGAAACUUGUGCUUUGAUUCAACAGGUUGGAAAACCCUUUUUGUAGAAUCUACGUAGGAACAUUUCUGAGCCCAUUGAGGCCUCUAGUGAAAAAACUGAAUAUCCCAGAAUUAAAACUAUAAACAAGCUAUCUGUGAAGAAGCUUUGUAAUAUGUGCAUUCAUCUAACAGAUAUAAGCGUGUAUUUUGAUUUGCCUGGUUGGGAACACUCUUUUUGUACAGUCUAUAAAGAAACAUUUCUGAGUGCAUUGAGUCAUAUGUUGAAAAAUCGAAUAUCUCGUGAUAAAAACUAGGCAGGAGGUAUCUGUGAAAAUGCUUUGAGAUGUGUGGGUAUUGGCCUCACAGAGUUAAACUUUUGUUUUGAUUCAACAGUUUGGAAACAUACUUUGUAGAAUCUACAAUGACAUAUUUCUGAGCCCAUUGAGGCCUGUAGUGAAAAACCGAAUAUCCCAUGAUAAAAACUCAAAACAAGCGAUAUGUGAAAAUGCUUUGUGACGUGUGGUUCAUCUCAUAGAGUUAAACCUGGUUUUGAUCCACUACAUUGGAAACACUCUUAUUGUAGAAUCUACAAAAAAAAAUUUCUGAGACCAUUGAGGUCUCUAGUGAAAAACUGAAUAUCCCAUGAUAAAAACUAGAUACAAGCUAUCUGUGAAAAUGCUUUGCAAUGUGUGGAUUUGUCUCACAAAGUUAAACCUGUGUUUGAUUCAACGGGUUGGAAACACUUUUUUUGUAGAAUCUAUGAAGAAACAUUUCUGAGACCAUUGAAGCCUAUAGUAAAAAAUUGAAUAUCCUGUGAUAUAAAUGAGAAACAAGUUAUCUACGAAAAUGUAUAUUAAUCUCACUGAAUGCAACCUGUGUUUUACUUCACCAGGUUAAAGAUGCUCUGUUGGUAAAAUCUGUGAAGGGACAUUUCUGAGCACAUUGAGGCCUAUAGUGAAAAAACGAAUAUCCUGCUAUAAAAACUAGAAACAAGCUAUGUGUGAAAAUGCUUUGCAAUGUGUGGAUUCACCUCACAGAUUUAAACCUUUGUUUUGUUUCAACAGGUUGGAAACACUCUUUUUGUAGUUGAACGAAGGGACAUUUUUGAGUCCCUUGAGGCCUAUAGUAAUGAACAGAAUAUCCUGCAAUAAAAAUUAGAAAGAAGUUAUCUGGGAAAAUGCUUUGUGUUGUGUGGACUUAUCUCACAGUGUCAAACUAUUGUUUCCAUGCAACACUAUAAAUGCACACUUUUUGUAGAAUCUAUGAGGGGACAUUUCUGAGCCCAUUGAGGCCUAUAAAGAAAAACCAAACUUCCCAUGUUAAAAGCUAGAAACAAGCUAUUUGCGAAAAUGCUUUAUGGUAUGUGGAUUCAUCUCAUUGAAUGAAACCUGUGUUUUGAUUCACCACGUUUGAAACACUCUUUUGAUAGAAUCCACGAAGGGACAUUUCACUGUAUGAGGCAUAUAGUGAAAAACCAAAUAUCUCAUGAUGAAAACUAGAAAGAAGCUAUUUGUGAAAAUGCUUUCUGAUGUUUAGAUUCAUGUCAAAGAGUUACACCAUUUUUUUGAUUCAACAGGUUUGAAACACUUUUUUUUAGAAUCUAUGAGGGACAUUUCUGAACAAAUUGAGGAGUGUAGUGAAAAACCGAAUAUCCCACUGUAAAAACUACAAACAUUCUGUCUGUGAACAUACUCCCAACUGACCCUGGGUAUUCUAAUAUGAGAGACUCCUGGCUGACCCCAGGCAGUCUAAGGAUAGAGACUCCUGGCAGACUGCAGGCAUUCUAAUGACAGAGACACCUGUGCAACUCCAGGCAUCUUAAUGAAAGAGACUUUAUGCCGACCUUAGGCAUUCUUGUGAUAGGGGCAACUGUGCGUCUUAAGACAUUUUUAUGAGAGAGACUCCAGGCUGACCCCAGGCAUUCUAAGGAGAGAGACUUCUUGCAGAAUUCAGAUACUGUAACGAUAGAGACACUGGGGCAACCUCCAACAUUCUAAUGAGAGGGACUUCUGGUCUACCACGGGCACUUCAAUGAUAAAGACAGUUUUUCGACCCCUAGCAUUUUAAUAGGAGAGACUGCCAGCCAAAACCAGGCAUUCAAACUGGAGAGACACCCAGCCAACCACAGGCAGUCUAAUGUUAGAGACGCCUGGAUGAUCACAGGCAUUAUAAUGGGAGAAACUGAAUGCCAAACGCAGGCAGUCUAAUGUUGGAGAUACCCAGCCAACCCCAGGCAUUUUAAUACAAAAGACUCCUGGUCGACCCCAGGCAUUCCAAUGAUAGAGACACUGUGGCGACCCAAGGUAAUCUACUGGGAGAGACUCCCUGCCAACCCCAGUGAUUCUAAUGGGAGAGACUGCUGGCUGACACCAGGCAGUCUGAUAGAAACCCCUGGGCAACCCCAGGCAUUCUAAUGAAAGUGAUUCCUGGCUGAACUUAGGCAGGCUAAUAACAGAGACAUCUGGGUGACCCCAGGCAUUCUAAUGGUACAGGCUCCCGGGAAAUUCCAGGCAUUCUAAUGGGAGAGACUCUUGGCCGACUACAGGCAGUUUAAGGAUAGAAACACCUGGGCGACCACAGGCAUUUUAAUGGAAAGACUCCAUGCUGACCCAAGGCAGCCUAAUUACAGAAACACCGGGUGACCCCAGGUAUUCUAAUGGAAGAGACUCCCGGUGGACCCCAGGCAGUCUAAUGAUAGAGACACCUGGGCAACCACAGGCAUUCUAAUGGGAGAGACUCCCAGCAGAGCCCAGGCAAUCAAAUGAUACACCUGGGCGACCCCAAAUAUUCUAAUAGAAGAGACUCCUAGCCAACCCCAGGCAUUCUAGUAAGAGACUUCUAGCCGACAAAAGGCAGUCUUAGGUUAGAGACACCUAGGCAACCUCAGGCAUUCUAAUGGGAGAGAUUCAUUGCUGACCCCUGUUAGUCUAACGAUAGAGUCACCUGGGGAACCUCAGUCAUUCUAAUGAGAUAGACUCCUGCCGAACCCAAGCAGUCUAAUUAUAAAGACAUUUCGGUGACCCAAGGCAUUCUAAGGAAAGAGACUCCUGGUGGAUCCCAGGCAGUCUAAUAAUAAAGACACCUGAGCAACCCCAGGCAUUCUAACGGAAGAGACUCCCAGCUGACCCCAGGCAGUCUAAUGAUAGAACUCCUGGGCAAACCCAGGCAUUCUAAUGGGAGAAACUUCUGGCCAAACCUAGGCAGUAUAAUUAUAUAUGCCAAAUCGACCCCAGGCAUUUUAAGGGGAGUGACUCCCAGCCGACUCCAGGCCGUCUAAUGAUAGAGACACCUGGGUGACCCUAGGCAUUCUAAUGGGAGGGACUCACCGCCGACCCUGGGCAUUCUAAUGGGAGAGACUCGUGGCCUACCCCAGGCAGUCUAAUGAUAGAGACACCUGAAAAACCCCAGGAAUUCUAGUGGGAGAGACACCCGACCAACUGCAGGAAAUCUAAUGAUAGAGACAACUGGGUGACUGCAGGCAUUUUAAUGGAAGAGACUCUCAGAUGACUUGACGUUUUAAUGAUAGAGACACCUGGGCAUCCCGAGGCAUUCUAAUAGGAGAGACUUCCAGCCAAACCCAGGCAUUCUUUUGAAAGAGAUGUCUGGCUGACCCCAGGCAGUCUGAUUAUAGAGACACCUGGGUGACCUCAGGAAUUUUAAUUGGAGAGAUUCCCGGCUGAUCACAGGCAGUCUAAUGAUAAAGUCAUCUAUGUGACUUAAGACAUUCUAAUGGGAGAGACUCCAGACCGACAUCAGACAUUCUAAUAAUAGAGACACCUCUGUGACUCCAGGCAUUCUAACGGGAGAGACUCUGGGCCGACACCAGGCAUUCUAAUAAAAAAGACUCCUGGCUGACCAUAGACUCUCUAAUGAUAGAGACAUCUGAACGACCCUUGGCAUUCUAAUAAUAGAGACUCCCGGCUGACCUCAGGGACCCUAAUGGUAGAGACACCUAGCUGAUGCAGGCAGUCUUAUGAUAGAGACACUUCGAUGACCGGAGACGUUCUAAUAAGAGAGAUUCCUGGUUGAACCCAGGCAUUCAAAUGAUAGACACCUUAUCGAGGACAGGCAUUUUAAUGGGAGAGACUCCCGCCAAACCGCAGGCAGUUUAAUAAAGAAAUAGGGAUGAAUACAGGUAUUCUAAUGAGAGACACUCCUGGCUGACUUCAGGCAGUCUAACAAUAGAGACACCUGGGAGAGCCCAGGUAUUCUAAUGGGAGAGAUUGCUGGCUGAACACAGGCAGUCAAACUGUAGAGGAAUCUAAGCCACCCAAGGCAUUUUAAUAGGAGAGCCUACCAGCUGACCCCAGGCAGUCUAAUGAUAGAGACACCUGGGCGAACCCAGGCAUACUAAUGGGAGAAACUCCCAGAUAACUCAAGGCAUUUUAAUAAGAGACAAUCUUGGCGGACCCCAGGCAGUCUAAUGUUCACAACUGGGCAACCACAGGCAUCCUAAUGGGAGAGACUACAGGACAAGCCCAGGCAUGCAAAUAAUAGAUACACGUAUGCGACCCCAAGCAUUCUAAUGAGAGAGAAUUCCAACUGACACCAGAUAUUCUAAUGGGAGAGACUCCUGCCUGACCCCAGGCAGUCUAAUAAUACAGACACCUGGAUGACCUCAGGCAUUCUAAUUAGAGAGACUUCUGUACAAACCCAGGCAAUCCAUGCAUAGAGACACCUAGGUGACCCCAGCCAUUCUAAUGGGGGAGAUUCCCAACUGACCACAGGCAGUCUAAUGGUAGAGGCACUUGGGUGACCCCAGGCAUCCUAAUAGUGGAGACUUCCAAAGGACCCCAGCCAAUCUAAUGUUAGAGACACCUGGGUGACACCAGGCAUUCUUAUGGGAGAUACCCUCCACUGACCCCAGGAAUUCUAAUAAUAGUGACACCUGGGAUACCACAGGCAUUCUAAUGGGAGAGACUGCUGGCUGACACCAGGCAUUCUCAUAAUAGAGACACCUGGGGGACUCCACUCCAGGCAUUCUAAUGGGGGAAACUCUCAGAUGACCCCAAGCAAUCUAAUGUUAGAGAGAGCUGUGCAACCACAAACAGUCUAAUGUUAGAGACACGUGGGUGACCCCAGUCACUCCAAUGGGAGAGACUCACAGAUGACAGAAAGCAUUCUAAUGGGAGAUACUCGUGGUCAACCCCAGGCAGUCUAAUGCUAGAGACACUGAUUGAGCCCAGUGAUUGUAAUGGGAGAGACUAAUGGUCGAACACAGGCAGUCUAAUAGUAGAGACACUUAGGUGAUCCUAGACAUUCUAAUGGAAAAGACUAUCAUCUGACCCCAGGCAUUCUAAUAAUACAGAAACCUGGGUGACCUAAGGCAUUCUAAUGGGAGAGACUUCCAUCUGAACCCUGGCAUUCUAAUGGGAAAGACACCAAGCCAGCCCAGGCAGUCUAAUGAUAGAGACAUCUGUGUAACCACAGGCAAUCUAAUGAAAGAGACUCCCGGCCAAUCGCAGGCAGUAUAAUGACAGAGAAAUCUGAACGACUGCAAGUAUUUUAAUGGGAGACACUUCUGGCUGACCCCAGGCAGUCUAAUAAUAGAGACACCUGAUGGACCCCAAGCAUUCUAAUAGAAGAGACUUCGAGCUGACCCCAGGCUGUCUAAUUAUAAAGACAUCUGGGCUACCUUGGUAAUUCUAAUGGGUAAGACUCCUGGCCAACCACAGGCAAUUCUAAUGGAAGAGACUCCUGACUGACACCAGGCAGUCUAAUAAUAGAGAAACCUGGGCAAUCCCAGACAUUCUUAUGGGAGAGACUGCUGGCUGAACCCAGCAGUCUAAUGAUAGAGACACAUGAGCAAACCCAAACAUUCUAAUGGGAGAGAUUCCCAGCCAAUUCCAUGCAUUCUAAUGAAAGAUCUCCUGGCCAACCCCAUGCAGUCUUAAAAUAGACACCUGGGCGACACCAGGCAGUCGAAUAAGAGAGACUCCUGGCUGACACCAAGCAGUCUAAUGGCAGAGACACCUGGGCCACCCCAGGCAUUCUAAAAAAAAAGAAUCCCAACUGACAUGAAGCAGUCUAAUGAUAGACAACUGGGCACCACAGGCAUUCUAAUGGGAGAGACUCCCAGUCGAUUCCAGACAUUCUAAUUUGAGAGAAUUUGGGAGAUGCCAGGCAUUCUCAUUGGAGAUAUCAGCGACCGACCUGCACCAGACUAAUGAUGAAAAUGCAUCCACGAACCCAGGCAUUCUAAUGGGAGGGGCUCUGGGAGACCUCAUGCAGUCUAAUGAAAAAGACACCUGGAUGACCUUAGACGUUCUAAUGGGAGAGACUCUGGUCCAACCCUAGACUGCCUAAGGUUAGAGACACCUGGUCAACCCCAGACAUUCCAAUGAAAGAGACUCCUGGCCCAAUUCAGGCAGUCUAAUGAUAGAGACACCAAUGUCACACUAAGCAUUUUAAUGUGAGAGACUCCUGGCUGAGACCAGGAAGUCUAAUUAUAGAGACACCUGGGCAACCCCAGGCAUUCUAACGGGAGAGACUUCAGGCUGACCCCAGGCAGUCUAAUGAUAGAGAAACCUGGGCGACUCCAGGCAUAAUAAUGGGAGAGACUGCUGGCUGACCCAAGGCAGUAUAAUGAUAGAGACCCCUGGGCAUGCUAUCUGUGAAAAUGCUUUAGGAUGUGUGGAUUAGUCUCACCAAAUGGAACCUGUGUAUUGAUUCACCAGGUUGAAAACACUCUUGCUGUAGAAUCUAUAAAGGGAUAUUUCUAAGACAAUGUAGGCCUAUAGUGACAGACCGUAUAUUUUGCAAUAAAAAAUAGAAACAAGCUAUCUGUGAAAAUGCUUCAUGAAAUGUGGAUUUAUUUCAAUGAGUUAAAACUUUGUUUUGAUUCAAUAGGCUGGAAAGCCUCGUUUUGUAGUAUCUACGAAAAGAAAUUUCUGAGCUCAUUGAGACUGGUAGUGAAAAAUCUAAUAUCCUGUGAUAAAAAGUAUAAAAACGCUAUGUGUGAAAAUGCUUUGCCAUAUGUGAGUUCAUCUCCAACAGUUAAAACUUUGUUUUGAUUCAACAG
rnacentral:lncRNA from 10 species